rnacentral:rRNA from 1 species
GACGAACGCUGGCGGCGUGCUUAACACAUGCAAGUCGAACGAUGAAGCCGGAGCUUGCUCUGGUGAAUUAGUGGCGAACGGGUGAGUAACACGUGAGUAACCUGCCCUUGACUCUGGGAUAACUGCUAGAAAUGGUAGCUAAUACCGGAUACGACCCUCGGAGGCAUCUUCAGGGGGUGGAAAGAAUUUCGGUCAAGGAUGGACUCGCGGCCUAUCAGCUAGUUGGUGAGGUAAUGGCUCACCAAGGCGACGACGGGUAGCCGGCCUGAGAGGGUGACCGGCCACACGGGGACUGAGACACGGCCCAGACUCCUACGGGAGGCAGCAGUGGGGAAUAUUGCACAAUGGGCGCAAGUCUGAUGCAGCAACGCCGCGUGAGGGAUGACGGCCUUCGGGUUGUAAACCUCUUUUAGUAGGGAAGAAGCGAAAGUGACGGUACCUGCAGAAAAAGCACCGGCUAACUACGUGCCAGCCGCCGCGGUAA